rnacentral:rRNA from 1 species
GAACGCUAGCGGAGCGCCUAAUGCAUGCAAGUCGAACGGGAACCUUUGGACUCGUCUGAAGGUGAGAGUGGCGAACGGGUGAGUAACACGUUGGUGACCUGCCCCAGAGAGGGGGAUAACCAUUGGAAACGAUGGCUAAUACCCUGGAUGUCAUUACUGUUAGAGGGUAAUGACUUAAGCUCCGGCGCUCUGGGAGGGGCCUGCGUCCCAUCAGCUAGUUGGUAGGGUAACGGCCUACCAAGGCUAAGACGGGUAGGGGGCGUGAGAGCGUGACCCCCCACACUGGUACUGACACACGGACCAGAUACCUACGGUUAGCAGCAGCUAGGAAUAUUGGGCAAUGGGCGAAAGCCUGACCCAGCAACGCCGCGUGGAGGACGAAUGCUUUCGGGUUGUAAACUCCUUUUCUGGGGGAUGAGAAAGGACAGUACCCCAGGAAUAAGGCCCGGCUAACUACGUGCCAGCAGCCGCGGUAAAACGUAGGGGUCAAGCGUUAUCCGGAUUUACUGGGCGUAAAGCGCAUGCAGGCGGUUUCUUAAGUCGGACGUGAAAGCUCCUGGCUCAACUAGGAGAGGUCGUUCGAAACUGGGGAACUAGAGGAUGGUAGAGGAGAGUGGAAUUCCCGGUGUAGUGGUGAAAUGCGUAGAUAUCGUGAGGAACACCAGUGGCGAAAGCGGCUCUCUGGGCCAUUCCUGACGCUAAGAUGCGAAAGCCAGGGGAGAGAACGGGAUUAGAAACCCCGGUAUUCCUGGCCGUAAACGAUGUCAACUAGGCGUAGGAGGUAUUGACCCCUUCUGUGCUGCAGCUAACGUGGUAAGUUGACCGCCUGGGGACUACGGCCGCAAGGCUAAAACUCAAAGGAAUUGACGGGUCCCCGCACAAGCAGCGGAGCGUGUGGUUUAAUUCGAGGCUACACGAAGAACCUUACCAGGGUUUGACAUGCCGGUGGUAGUGAUGUGAAAGCUGAUCGACCCUUCGGGGAGCCGGCACGGGUGCUGCAUGGCUGUCGUCAGCUCGUGUCGUGAGAUGUCAGGUUAAGUCCUGUAACGAGCGCACACCUCGUCGUUAGUUACAUGUGUCUAACGAGACUGCCGGGAUAAGCCGGACGAACGUGAGGAUGACGUCAAGUCAGCAU